UGGGGAAUUUUGGACAAUGGGGGCAACCCUGAUCCAGCAACGCCGCGUGAAUGAAGAAGGCCUUAGGGUUGUAAAGUUCUUUUAUAUGAGAGCAAGUUGAUAUAUUGAAUAGAUAUGUUAAUUGAGAGUAUCAUAUGAAUAAGCACCGGCUAACUACGUGCCAGCAGCCGCGGUAAUACGUAGGGUGCGAGCGUUAAUCGGAAUUACUGGGCGUAAAGGGUGCGCAGGCGGAUGAUCAAGUUAGAUGUGAAAUACCUAGGCUCAACCUGGGUUCGUCAUUUAAGACUGGUUAUCUAGAGUUAUGCAGAGGCGGGUAGAAUUCCAAGUGUAGCAGUGAAAUGCGUAGAGAUUUGGAGGAAUACCGAUGGCGAAGGCAGCCCGCUGGGCGAUAACUGACGCU
rnacentral:rRNA from 1 species